rnacentral:rRNA from 1 species
CCUCCUUCUGGCAGCAGUGGGGGAUAUUGCACAAUGGGGGGAACCCUGAUGCAGCGACGCCGCGUGGGUGAAGAAGCGCCUCGGUGUGUCAAGCCCUGUCAGCAGGGAAGAAAAUGAUGGUACCUGACGAAGAAGCCCCGGCUUACUACGUGCCACCAGCCGCGGUAAUACGGGGGAAGCAAGCGUUAUCCGGAUUUACGGGGUUUAAAGGGUGCGUAGGCUGUGAGGUAAGUCAGCGGUGAAAUGCCUCCGCUCAACGGGGUGAAGUGCCAUUGAUACUGGCUGGCUGGAAUGCGGAUGCGGUGGGAGGAAUGUGUGGUGUAGCGGUGAAAUGCAUAGAUAUCACGCAGAACACCGAUUGCGAAGGCAUCUUACGAAUCCGCGAUUGACGCUGAGGCACGAAAGCGUGGGUAUCAAACAGGAUUAGAUACCCCGGUAGUC